GUGGGGAAUAUUGGACAAUGGGCGCAAGCCUGAUCCAGCAAUUCCGCGUGGAUGAAGAAGGUCUUCGGAUUGUAAAGUCCUUUCGGCGGGGACGAUGAUGACGGUACCCGCAGAAGAAGCCCCGGCUAACUUCGUGCCAGCAGCCGCGGUAAUACGAAGGGGGCUAGCGUUGCUCGGAAUGACUGGGCGUAAAGGGCGCGUAGGCGGCGCAUUUAGUCAGGCGUGAAAUUCCUGGGCUCAACCUGGGGACUGCGCUUGAUACGGGUGUGCUUGAGGAUGGAAGAGGCUCGCGGAAUUCCCAGUGUAGAGGUGAAAUUCGUAGAUAUUGGGAAGAACACCGGUGGCGAAGGCGACUUACUGGACACAUAUUGACGCUGAGGUGCGAAAGCGUGGGGAGCAAAC
rnacentral:rRNA from 1 species